GAUGCAGCAAGUCGUUCUUUCUUCCUUUCUUCUUGCAGGUGCCACCGAUCCUCUGCAUCCUGCGCAGCUGCGUGCGCUCCAUGCAGCAGAGCAUGCUCCUGCCCAUCCUCUGCCAGGCGGUGGUCAUCCUCACACGCUGUCACGCAGAGCUCAUGAUUGACAACUUCUUCCGGCUGUUUGAGCCCACAGACAGUGACACGUGGAGGAGAAGAAUAAGAGCAUUUUGUCUUCGAGAGGGGAGCCGGUAGAGGAUUGAAAAGAACAGGAAGGCCGAGCUAAAAGCUUUGUAUUAUUUAUUAAAAAUUAAAAAUCUAAAACUUAAAUUUUAA